AAUGAUUGACACUCAUAAACCAGCGAAUGGUAACCACAGUAAUAGGGGGUCCUGCGCUUUGCUGGUCUUAACAGGUUAUGAGCCCCGGGUAGCACUUCUUAACAGUAAUUGCGGUCAAACUACGGUAACCCCUGUCGGUCACAGAGGUUGCGGGGGGCCCUCAGCCCUGACUUGCAGACCUCUGCACGGCAGGUCCUUAAAUGCCCUUGUCUUUAGUGGCCCUUGAUGCAGAUUCGCCCCUGAGCCCCUGGCCCUGCAACUGUAUCGCGUGUGCCUGCUGGCGGAAAACCGUUGCGGGGAACACAUGUUUCUGGCCGGUACGGUCAGCACAACACAGAGUAAUGCACACAUGCUGAUGCUUGGUAACCCG
rnacentral:lncRNA from 1 species